GUGUGGGGAGGUAUGUGUGAAUUUUUCUUCACUCUGGAUCCUAUUAUUUCCUGAGCACACAGGGGAAAGAGAAGCUUUCGAGACAUGCAUGGUUCUGGAAUUAUAUUUCCUUGGUUCAAAUACUGACACUAAAAUUUAUUACCCACACUCCAGCACUUGCUUAACUCUGCAUGCCUCAGUUUCCAUAGUCUAAAAUAGAGUUCAUACAUUUUCUUAUUCAUCAGGUUGUCUCAAGUACUUUGCAAGAUUAUGCUUGUAAGAUUCUGAGCCAUGAUCAUUCAAUAAAUAUUAGUUAUAGUUAUUUUUAGAAUGUGGCAAUCCUCAAUUUGACUUACGCUCUGGCCGUUUUUAACUAAUUGGAACCUUUGUUUGAAACUCUAUUUUCUCAUCUAGAAAAUAAAAUGGGAAAAACGGUAUCUAAUUCCGAGUUGUAAAGAGCAUUUUGGGGGAUGCACACCUAAAAGCACUCCAUAGGUUUUUUUCCUUCCUCACUCCUAGCCACUUUCCUUGGCAAGGCUUUUUCAGGAAAUGUCACUCUCAGGAAGACGCACUUCUGUAUAGAGGAUAUAGGCUCCCCGUUUAUGUUUCCUGCUGAGGCCCUCUGGGCAGCCUGGUAGCAAUGUGUUUUGAGUGCCCUGCCAAAUACUUGGUGGGCAGUUUUCCAGUAUUCCUCACGCAAUGUUGUGUGCAGCUGAGGGUUAAGUCUCACAUCUCAUUGUUGAGCAUCAGCUCCAUCCUUUGAGUCUGUCUGACUUGUGUGCUUAACCCCUGAGUCGUCCUACUGCUGCUGAGGAAACUCAGCGGAAGCCAGGAGCAUGGGCAUUCCCACCGCUGGAACUAAUGGAGCUAAGUAGAGGACACAUCCCUCGGUCACCUCCUUAUCUUGUUUCACUGCAAGGUAAUUUAAGAAGCAUAUGAUAGCUCGUUUUCCACCACGGCCCUAAUAUCCAGGCCACGAGUCAGAAAAUUUACCUUUUAACUUAAUAUAUAUGUCGUUUAUGUGGUCUAGCACCAGUGUUCAUCCACCUCAAUGGUAGGUUUCAUGCAGCUUAAUGAAGGUCCUCUCUGUGUACACGUUAUCGGGGAUGCACGUCUUGCAGCUUCUUUGCCCUGAGGCCACUGUGAAUGCCACGUUACUUGACAGAUGGGUCUAGUUUACAUCAUCAAUUUUUAUCACAUUCUUUUAUGAAAUAGAAAUUUCUAUCAUGGGCAUGUAAUUUGGUGAGUAUUGAAAAUAGUAAGCUCUUUCAGAAAGCUGUAAAAUUACAUAUUUAUAGACUUAUGGAAUUUGCCUUGUUUUUCCUCUCUCCUUCACCAUUUAUCUCACAUGAAUCAGACAAUAGAUAGGGCAGUUUGGGAAAUUUAAAGAGUUAUAAAAUCAUAAUCAUUAUUCGAAAAGCUUUGUUUUAAAUCUCUGAAUUGGGGAAAUGCGUAUCUCAAAUAUGAGCCUGUUUGUAGUAAUUCACUGGCAAUAGCCAUUAAAUGUGAUCAAAUCAAAUCUGUCUUUGAAAUGCUAAGAAAGAUCUUUUAUGUGGCAAUGGAUUCAGGUUGUGUUUGGUAAUCUGAAUGGACCCUGAGCUGUUGUAAGUAUUGAGAAGUCCAAGUACAAAUUUCUUAUAUGUUGUGUCUUUCUAGCUUAAGUAAAGCCAUUAAGAUGUAUUUAAAUUUUAUGUAGAUGGUUAAGCAUUUGGGAAAUUCUGAAAGGUCACUCUCUAGGACUGCAUCGCCUUACCUUUUCUAGUUUGCCUUUUCAUUUGAUAUAGGCUUCAUUCAGAAGUGACCGUUGUACUUCCCAGGUACCAUUCAUCCUCAUGUAAGACUAGUUGUAAGUCUAACUCAGUGGGUCAUGAUGACGUACAGCUAUAUUCUCAUUCUCAUUUUAGUAAAAACACCUGCAAAGAAAGGCAAACACUGGAGAAAUGAUCAUUUAACUUACCACUUACCUUAUUGACUACACAUGAUUACACUUUCUCAAGUUUCACGUUUCUUUCUUCCACCCAGCAGCCUGGCAUUAAAGUGCACUCAGGCAGAAUCUGGUGGGUUUACUGCUUAAAUUCUUGCGGAGUUCUGGUGCUGAGGAGGGAGGGGAACCCCUGCCAGAAGGCAGCACGUAGGAGUGAUGAGAGUCUUGGCUCUGGAGCCAUUCUCUCUGCAUCUGAUCUCCCAUCCACAACUUAAUAAAUAUUUUAUUGCCUCUCCCAGUCAAGCCUGUUUUGGGCACCUCGUUUUUCUCAAUUGAAAUAUAUCCUUUGGGAGCCCUAUUGAUGACAUUGAGGUUCUCAAGUUCUAGGUGGUGAUGCACAGUUUUAAAAUAAUGUAACAGAAUUUUAUUUUUACUAUCACCUUCAAUUUAUGGCAGGGGAUGUUGGGUUUUAAGAAAUUAAGCAUAUGAUCAGACUUUCAGAAGAUAAAACUGAAAAUGGAACAUAAGUCAGUGAAGUGUGGUGGACCUGCUAGAGCCAUGUGUUGGAGUGGGUGUUUAUUGGAUGUUUUCUAAAUCUCCACCUCUAGUUGGCUGACCUCCAGACCUGUAUUUCCAAUUGCUUCCUGAACAUCUCAAUUCAAACAUCUCAGAUCCAGUGACCACCUAGUGACCUCAUGCCCUUCCUUGCAAAACCAGCUCAUCUUCCUCUAGUCUCUAUUUUGGUUAUGGUAUCUUUUCUCUCAGGUUUUUGGUCUAGAAACCUUAGCACUACUUUCAAUUCCACUUUUUCUGUAUCCUGCAACAUCUCAUCAGAACUGUUGGCUUGCUCCUGGAUAGAGCUUUCUUCAUUUCCUCAUUCAAGGACAAGUUUAGAAGUAAAGUUGCCUGCUUGAAGUUUGGCCAAGCAAUGGCUACUUGAUUGACAUUCACAGUAGUACACCACAGAGUCUGUGGAGUUGAGAAUAGGCUAGGAAUUACUUCAAAAUAUGUCUGGUUAAUGCUGUGUGGAUGAGGCCAAACCUUGUUUUAUAUGGAGUCUCUCACAAUUUAGUUUUCAAAUACAUGCAGGUGCUACAUAGUUAAUAAAAUGGAAAUGUUUUUUAAAGAGUUAUUGAAUGUGUAGUAGCCUUUUAUCAUUGUAUAACUUGAAAUAAUUCCUAUUGAAGGUGAGGUUUCAUCAAAUGUUAUGAUGUCAUAUUAUAAAACAUGGAUUUCAAGGAUUAUUGAUUUUCACUUGUUCAGAGUCACAAAUGCAUAGGAAAAAGAAAAGUCAGAGAUUAUAUGAGCUUUCAAAGAUUAGAUUUUGGGGAAGAGAAAUCAGAAUUGAAAAUCUCAAAACACUUGACUAGUAAAUUUAGAACUCUCACCUGUUUUCACCAAGAUAGGUUUUGUGUAUGUGUGUGUGUCUAAAGAUAAGAAUGUCCUCUGGGUUUACCGGUUGCCCCCUGCAAAAUAGGGAACUAAAUAUAUAUGUAAAUAAAAUGAAGAUAGAGAGGAGUGUAGUGGACAUAAGAUAAAUUUGAGCUCUAAUUCCUGAAUGUAGAGAAAUGCUUGAUAGAAGAGGUGUUGGCUAAUUUUAUUUAGGCUUACACGUGUCCACUGAAGAAAAAUGCGUGACCUAAAUGUUUUGAGUUAUAUUUUAUUUGGGGGACUUUACUGAGGACCAUAACCCAGGAGACUGCCUCUCAGAUAGCUCUAAGGAACUGAAGAGGUAAGGGAGGAGCCAGGAUUUAUGAGUUUCCGUUGAAAAGAACAAACAAAAACAACAACAACAAAAAAAACCCCCCAAAACUACAUAGUCGAACAGCAAGAGGUUAUUGCUGACCACAAAAGAUAGACGUCUUAAGUUAACAAUUGAGUGCUUGUCUAUGUAUGGGAAGAUGUAAGAGUGUGGGCCCAUCAAAACUCUUCCUUAGAUAUAUAUCUUAACUGUUUCAGGUUUAGUAUCAUGUUUUUCAACAUCCUGACUUCCCCACAGAGUACACUGUCAUCCGUGGCUGAUUGCUUGAUAGUGGGCAGCAUUCCUUGUCCACUGAAAUUGUAGACAACACGUUUUUGUUCUGCAGAAGAGAGGUUAAGAUUUUCCUAUUUGAAAGUGAUGGAGAAUGUGUAAACCAUUCAAGUGAGAACAAAUGCUACACAAUCUGAUAUGAUUGAAGUGUAGGAUAUCUGAGGGACAAAUUGGGGCUGGAUAUGAGGUUUUUGAGUAUCUCGACUCUUCUGUUGGAAUUUGAUGGAGUACAUAGUGGAAUAUCUCAAAAGAUUUUAAACAGCCAUGAGAUGAUCAGUGUGACAUUGUAUUUUAUUUAUUACUCAAAACGGGUAUUUAAAAAUUACCUUGAAAUCUAGAUGAUUAUCAAUGAAAGAAGUGGAAGCAUAAUGUAGAUAAUUAAAAGAAGAGAGACAGAAAAACUGAGAAACUAUAGUGGAAGUAAAAAGAUGUUGGUUGAGGAGUUAGAAAGAAUAUGGUUGGAACUCUAGGUUGUGUUAGAGGUAGCCUGCUUUUGUUUACUUGGUCUGGGAGUUUAGAAUGCUAUCUUUGCCUUGCAUUUGAAAGAUAAAUUUGUUUGUUCUACCACUAGGCCCAGAUCUUUUCAUAUUCUUUUAUUCUUAAACCCUGAGAGGCUCCUUUCCUAGGGGAUGGUUAGUUGUGUAAACUUUGAGUGGCAAUGCCAGCAGCAUUAACACCUUCCAAGACCAGUCUCCUAGGUGGGAUGUCUUUAUAGCUGGUUCAGAAGAAAGAUAUUCCAUUGGAUUAGCCUGAAGAGCUGAAGAAAAGGAAAUGAGUUUUCUCGAUGUCCCUUCCUGUUCUCCCUCUCUCUUUCCCUCUGAUUCUUGCUCUGAAUCACCAUGUGUUUCCCACCUCACAGUGCAUUUGGAGUGAAUGUCAGCUCUGCAGUCUGUGACUCAAGGUCCAAACACCCUUUAUUAAAAACUACAUCAUUUAAAGUACAUUGAGGAAAUUUGAGUUUUCUUUGCGGCCAUAAGGACUCUUAAUACUCUCAGUAUUCUUGUAUUCUCCAACCAUGGAUCAUGUUUUGUUAUAUUCUGCCCCCUUUGAUGUUUUCUUUUUUUUUUUUUUUUUAAUUUAAAACUACAUUUAUAGGCACCCUAGCUGUUACACUGCACAUGUUUUGUUUAAAACAUGUGCCUGCUUUGUUAGUAAAGGAACCUUUGCCAAGAGAAUUGUGUGUAGGUGGGUGUGACUAACUUAGCCAAGAGACUUAUCUCUUCUCCUAUCUGCCCGAGGCCUCAAGGCUGCCUUUGUUAUGACUUAUUUCUUCCCUCACCAGCCCUGCCCCUUCCAACAUUUAUUGCUUUUUUCUCCCCAUUUUUUAUAUCUAACCAUUUUAACUUUCCAAAAUGAAGCAGCUCUCUGGAUUCACUUUCUGGUGGGUGACCUGAACCAUGGGUUUCCUACUGCUUUGAGUGCCAAGUACUUAAAUGAGAACAUUCAAAUUUUGCCUCCCCACAUCCCCCACCCUUAAAGUUUUAUCAGCAAACCUUCUUGCUUGCUUGGGUUGGGAUUGUCUUGUUUCCCUUUGGGCAACUUUCAGCAGAAGCUGUAAUGUUGCUAGGCUAUUUGAAGGGAAAUCUGAGUCCCAGUGACCAAUAAACAUAGGAACAGGAAAAGGAGCCCAAAAUGAUCUUUAUAAAGCUUUAGUUCCCUGGUAACUCAGAUGGUAGAGAAUCUGCUUGCAAUGCAGGAGGCCCAGGUUGCAUCCCUGGGUCAGGAAGAUCCCCUGGAGAAGGGAAUGGCAACCCACUCCAGUAUUCUUGCCUGGAAAAGACCAUGGACAGGGGAACCUGGUGGGCUGCAGUCCACUGGGUCACAAAUUGUCAGACAUGUUUGAGUGACUAACACACAAACCUUGGUUCACAGAGUCAAGGGUGGUCUGCUCAUGUGUUUAGCCUUCUAGGGCUGAUCA